UACGGGGGGGGUAAGCGUUGUUCGGAAUUACUGGGCGUAAAGGGCUCGUAGGCGGCCAGCUAAGUCAUACGUGAAAUCCCUCAGCUUAACUGGGGAACUGCGUGUGAUACUGGAUGGCUUGGAUUUGGGAGAGGGAUGCGGAAUUCCAGGUGUAGCGGUGAAAUGCGUAGAUAUCUGGAGGAACACCGGUGGCGAAGGCGGCAUCCUGGACCAAUAUUGACGCUGAGGAGCGAAAGCCAGGGGAGCAAACGGG
rnacentral:rRNA from 1 species